UCCCAAUACACAGUGUGGUGGACCAUCCGU
rnacentral:piRNA from 1 species